UUAAGUUAUUAAGGGCGCACGGUGGAUGCCUUGGCACUAGAAGCCGAUGAAGGACGUUACUAACGACGAUAUGCUUUGGGGAGCUGUAAGUAAGCUUUGAUCCAGAGAUUUCCGAAUGGGGAAACCCAGCAUGAGUUAUGUCAUGUUAUCGAUAUGUGAAUACAUAGCAUAUCAGAAGGCACACCCGGAGAACUGAAACAUCUUAGUACCCGGAGGAAGAGAAAGAAAAUUCGAUUCCCUUAGUAGCGGCGAGCGAAACGGGAAGAGCCCAAACCAACAAGCUUGCUUGUUGGGGUUGUAGGACACUCUGUACGGAGUUACAAAGGACGACAUUAGACGAAUCAUCUGGAAAGAUGAAUCAAAGAAGGUAAUAAUCCUGUAGUCGAAAAUGUUGUCUCUCUUGAGUGGAUCCUGAGUACGACGGAGCACGUGAAAUUCCGUCGGAAUCUGGGAGGACCAUCUCCUAAGGCUAAAUACUCUCUAGUGACCGAUAGUGAACCAGUACCGUGAGGGAAAGGUGAAAAGCACCCCGGAAGGGGAGUGAAAUAGAACCUGAAACCGUGUGCUUACAAGUAGUCAGAGCCCGUUAAUGGGUGAUGGCGUGCCUUUUGUAGAAUGAACCGGCGAGUUACGAUUUGAUGCAAGGUUAAGCAGUAAAUGUGGAGCCGUAGCGAAAGCGAGUCUGAAUAGGGCGUUUAGUAUUUGGUCGUAGACCCGAAACCAGGUGAUCUACCCUUGGUCAGGUUGAAGUUCAGGUAACACUGAAUGGAGGACCGAACCGACUUACGUUGAAAAGUGAGCGGAUGAACUGAGGGUAGCGGAGAAAUUCCAAUCGAACCUGGAGAUAGCUGGUUCUCUCCGAAAUAGCUUUAGGGCUAGCCUCAAGUGAUGAUUAUUGGAGGUAGAGCACUGUUUGGACGAGGGGCCCCUCUCGGGUUACCGAAUUCAGACAAACUCCGAAUGCCAAUUAAUUUAACUUGGGAGUCAGAACAUGGGUGAUAAGGUCCGUGUUCGAAAGGGAAACAGCCCAGACCACCAGCUAAGGUCCCAAAAUAUAUGUUAAGUGGAAAAGGAUGUGGCGUUGCCCAGACAACUAGGAUGUUGGCUUAGAAGCAGCCAUCAUUUAAAGAGUGCGUAAUAGCUCACUAGUCGAGUGACACUGCGCCGAAAAUGUACCGGGGCUAAACAUAUUACCGAAGCUGUGGAUUGUCCUUUGGACAAUGGUAGGAGAGCGUUCUAAGGGCGUUGAAGCAUGAUCGUAAGGACAUGUGGAGCGCUUAGAAGUGAGAAUGCCGGUGUGAGUAGCGAAAGACUGGUGAGAAUCCCGUCCACCGAUUGACUAAGGUUUCCAGAGGAAGGCUCGUCCGCUCUGGGUUAGUCGGGUCCUAAGCUGAGGCCGACAGGCGUAGGCGAUGGAUAACAGGUUGAUAUUCCUGUACCACCUAUAAUCGUUUUAAUCGAUGGGGGGACGCAGUAGGAUAGGCGAAGCGUGCGAUUGGAUUGCACGUCUAAGCAGUAAGGCUGAGUAUUAGGCAAAUCCGGUACUCGUUAAGGCUGAGCUGUGAUGGGGAGAAGACAUUGUGUCUUCGAGUCGUUGAUUUCACACUGCCGAGAAAAGCCUCUAGAUAGAAAAUAGGUGCCCGUACCGCAAACCGACACAGGUAGUCAAGAUGAGAAUUCUAAGGUGAGCGAGCGAACUCUCGUUAAGGAACUCGGCAAAAUGACCCCGUAACUUCGGGAGAAGGGGUGCUCUUUAGGGUUAACGCCCAGAAGAGCCGCAGUGAAUAGGCCCAAGCGACUGUUUAUCAAAAACACAGGUCUCUGCUAAACCGUAAGGUGAUGUAUAGGGGCUGACGCCUGCCCGGUGCUGGAAGGUUAAGAGGAGUGGUUAGCUUCUGCGAAGCUACGAAUCGAAGCCCCAGUAAACGGCGGCCGUAACUAUAACGGUCCUAAGGUAGCGAAAUUCCUUGUCGGGUAAGUUCCGACCCGCACGAAAGGCGUAACGAUUUGGGCACUGUCUCAACGAGAGACUCGGUGAAAUCAUAGUACCUGUGAAGAUGCAGGUUACCCGCGACAGGACGGAAAGACCCCGUGGAGCUUUACUGUAGCCUGAUAUUGAAAUUCGGCACAGCUUGUACAGGAUAGGUAGGAGCCUUUGAAACGUGAGCGCUAGCUUACGUGGAGGCGCUGGUGGGAUACUACCCUAGCUGUGUUGGCUUUCUAACCCGCACCACUUAUCGUGGUGGGAGACAGUGUCAGGCGGGCAGUUUGACUGGGGCGGUCGCCUCCUAAAAGGUAACGGAGGCGCUCAAAGGUUCCCUCAGAAUGGUUGGAAAUCAUUCAUAGAGUGUAAAGGCAUAAGGGAGCUUGACUGCGAGACCUACAAGUCGAGCAGGGUCGAAAGACGGACUUAGUGAUCCGGUGGUUCCGCAUGGAAGGGCCAUCGCUCAACGGAUAAAAGCUACCCCGGGGAUAACAGGCUUAUCUCCCCCAAGAGUUCACAUCGACGGGGAGGUUUGGCACCUCGAUGUCGGCUCAUCGCAUCCUGGGGCUGUAGUCGGUCCCAAGGGUUGGGCUGUUCGCCCAUUAAAGCGGUACGCGAGCUGGGUUCAGAACGUCGUGAGACAGUUCGGUCCCUAUCCGUCGUGGGCGUAGGAAAUUUGAGAGGAGCUGUCCUUAGUACGAGAGGACCGGGAUGGACAUACCUCUGGUGUACCAGUUGUCGUGCCAACGGCAUAGCUGGGUAGCUAUGUGUGGACGGGAUAAGUGCUGAAAGCAUCUAAGCAUGAAGCCCCCCUCAAGAUGAGAUUUCCCAACUUCGGUUAUAAGAUCCCUCAAAGAUGAUGAGGUUAAUAGGUUCGAGGUGGAAGCAUGGUGACAUGUGGAGCUGACGAAUACUAAUCGAUCGAAGACUUAAUCAA
rnacentral:rRNA from 1 species